GGAGUUUGAUCCUGGCUCAGGAUGAACGCUAGCUACAGGCUUAACACAUGCAAGUCGAGGGGAAACGAUAUUGGAAGCUUGCUUCCGAUAGGCGUCGACCGGCGCACGGGUGAGUAGCGCGUAUCCAACCUGCCCAUCACUUGGGGAUAACCUUGCGAAAGUAAGACUAAUACCCAAUGACGUCUCUAGAAGACAUCUGAAGGAGAUUAAAGAUUUAUCGGUGAUGGAUGGGGAUGCGUCAGAUUAGCUUGUUGGCGGGGUAACGGCCCACCAAGGCUACGAUCAGUAGGGGUUCUGAGAGGAAGGUCCCCCACAUUGGAACUGAGACACGGUCCGAACUCCUACGGGAGGCAGCAGUGAGGAAUAUUGGUCAAUGGACGAGAGUCUGAACCAGCCAAGUAGCGUGCAGGAUGACGGCCCUAUGGGUUGUAAACUGCUUUUAUAAGGGAAUAAAGUGAGCCUCGUGAGGCUUUUUGCAUGUACCUUAUGAAUAAGGACCGGCUAAUUCCGUGCCAGCAGCCGCGGUAAUACGGAAGGUCCGGGCGUUAUCCGGAUUUAUUGGGUUUAAAGGGAGCGUAGGCCGGAGAUUAAGCGUGUUGUGAAAUGUAGACGCUCAACGUCUGCACUGCAGCGCGAACUGGUUUCCUUGAGUACGCACAAAGUGGGCGGAAUUCGUGGUGUAGCGGUGAAAUGCUUAGAUAUCACGAAGAACUCCGAUUGUGAAGGCAGCUCACUGGAGCGCAACUGACGCUGAAGCUCGAAAGUGCGGGUAUCGAACAGGAUUAGAUACCCUGGUAGUCCGCACGGUAAACGAUGGAUGCCCGCUGUUGGUCUGAAUAGGUCAGCGGCCAAGCGAAAGCAUUAAGCAUCCCACCUGGGGAGUACGCCGGCAACGGUGAAACUCAAAGGAAUUGACGGGGGCCCGCACAAGCGGAGGAACAUGUGGUUUAAUUCGAUGAUACGCGAGGAACCUUACCCGGGCUUGACAUCCUACUAACGAAGUAGAGAUACAUCAGGUGCCCUUCGGGGAAAGUAGAGACAGGUGGUGCAUGGUUGUCGUCAGCUCGUGUCGUGAGAUGUUGGGUUAAGUCCCGCAACGAGCGCAACCCCUAUUGUUAGUUGCUACGCAAGAGCACUCUAGCGAGACUGCCGUUGACAAAACGGAGGAAGGUGGGGACGACGUCAAAUCAUCAUGCCCCUUAUGUCCUGGGCUACACACGUAAUACAAUGGCGGUCAACAGAGGGAUGCAAAGCCGUAAGGUGGAGCGAACCCCUAAAAGCCGUCCCAGUUCAGAUCGUGGGCUGCAACCCGCCCACGUGAAGUCGGAAUCGCUAGUAAUCGCGGAUCAGCAUGCCGCGGUGAAUACGUUCCCGGGCCUUGUACACACCGCCCGUCACACCAUGAGAGUCGGGAACACCCGAAGCCCGUAGCCUAACCUAACGGAGGGCGCGGUCGAAGGUGGGUUCGAUAAUUGGGGUGAAGUCGUAACAAGGUA
rnacentral:rRNA from 1 species